rnacentral:rRNA from 1 species
CCCUUAGAUGUUCGGGGCUGCACACGCGCUACACUGGAGGAAACAGCGUGUAUUGACCUGGUCCGAAAGGACUGGGUAAACCUGUGAAACUUCUCCGUGCUUGGGAUAGCGGAUUGCAAUUGUUUCGCUUCAACGAGGAAUUCCUAGUAAGCGUAAGUCAUAAGCUUGCGCUGAUUACGUCCCUGCCCUUUGUACACACUGCCCGUCGCUACUACUGAUUGGGUGUUCAAGUGAGAUGCUUAGACCCUUGUUGCAUGGUUCAUUAUUGUGCUCCGAAAGGAAAAAGUUUCAAGCUUGAGUGUCUAGAGGAAGUAAAAGUCGUAACA